rnacentral:rRNA from 1 species
AACAGCGGAGAGUUUGAUCCUGGCUCAGGAUGAACGCUAGCGACAGGCUUAACACAUGCAAGUCGAGGGGCAGCGGGGGAGCAGCAAUGCUCCCGCCGGCGACCGGCGCACGGGUGAGUAACACGUAUGGAACCUGCCCGCAGCAGGGGGAUAAGCGGAAGAAAUUCCGUCUAAUACCGCGUAACACCGCAGAGGGGCAUCCCUCGGCGGUUAAAGAUUCAUCGGCUGCGGAUGGCCAUGCGGCGCAUUAGCUAGUCGGCGGGGUAACGGCCCACCGAGGCGACGAUGCGUAGGGGUUCUGAGAGGAAGGUCCCCCACACUGGUACUGAGACACGGACCAGACUCCUACGGGAGGCAGCAGUGAGGAAUAUUGGUCAAUGGCCGUAAGGCUGAACCAGCCAAGUCGCGUGAGGGAAGACGGCCCUACGGGUUGUAAACCUCUUUUGUCAGGGAGCAAGGGGCAGGUCGUGACCUGCUGUGAGAGUACCUGAAGAAAAAGCAUCGGCUAACUCCGUGCCAGCAGCCGCGGUAAUACGGAGGAUGCGAGCGUUAUCCGGAUUUAUUGGGUUUAAAGGGUGCGCAGGCGGAGGCACAAGUCAGCGGUAAAAUCGCGGGGCUCAACCCCGCUCCGCCGUUGAAACUGUGUCCCUUGAGUGCGCGAAGGGUAGGCGGAAUGCGUGGUGUAGCGGUGAAAUGCAUAGAUAUCACGCAGAACUCCGAUCGCGAAGGCAGCCUACCGGCGCGCAACUGACGCUCAUGCACGAAAGCGUGGGUAUCGAACAGGAUUAGAUACCCUGGUAGUCCACGCAGUAAACGAUGAAUGCUAUCUGUCCGGCCGGAAUGACGGCUGGGUGGCACAGCGAAAGCGUUAAGCAUUCCACCUGGGGAGUACGCCGGCAACGGUGAAACUCAAAGGAAUUGACGGGGGCCCGCACAAGCGGAGGAACAUGUGGUUUAAUUCGAUGAUACGCGAGGAACCUUACCCGGGCUCAAACGACGCAGGGAUGUCCGUGAAAGCGGACAGUCCUUCGGGACCUGUGUCGAGGUGCUGCAUGGUUGUCGUCAGCUCGUGCCGUGAGGUGUCGGCUUAAGUGCCAUAACGAGCGCAACCCCCAUCUUCAGUUGCCAUCAGGUUAUGCUGGGCACUCUGGAGAGACUGCCGGCGCAAGCUGCGAGGAAGGCGGGGAUGACGUCAAAUCAGCACGGCCCUUACGUCCGGGGCGACACACGUGUUACAAUGGCAGGUACAGCGGGAGGCCAGGCGGCGACGCCGAGCGGAACCCGAAAACCUGUCUCAGUUCGGAUCGGAGUCUGCAACCCGACUCCGUGAAGCUGGAUUCGCUAGUAAUCGCGCAUCAGCCAUGGCGCGGUGAAUACGUUCCCGGGCCUUGUACACACCGCCCGUCAAGCCAUGGAAGCCGGGGGUGCCUGAAGUGUGCAACCGCAAGGAGCGCCCUAAGGUAAAACCGGUGACUGGGGCUAAGUCGUAACAAGGUAGCCGUACCGGAAGGUGCGGCUGGAACACCUCCUUUCU